rnacentral:lncRNA from 1 species
AUCAACUUUUAAUCACAUACAUGCAUGCAACUUAUUCAUUUACAUUCUUUUCUUUAGCAUCAUUUCUUCUCUUUUACAUCACAUGAUACCUCAAAAUAUAACCUUUUGCAUUCAAAUAUAAAAUCUUUUACGCCGUUCAUGUUCUUUCAUUUAAACAUAUAUAAUCAUCAAAAUACAAAAGAUGAUAUAAAGCGUAUGUAACUUGUAAGGUACCAGAUUUCUAAAAUAAUGAAGUUACGGUGUAUAUUGAUUUGGAGAGCCAUUGGAAUGGUUUCGGUGAAGUUUGGAAGUAGUCGGGCGUUUUCGGAGCGCGUAGGCGCGAAAACGGAACCCGAAAGGCUAUGUUGGACCAUGGAGUAAAUCCGGCAUUAGCGUGGAUGAAAAGAUGAUGAAAACAUGCUCGAAAAUAUGUUUGGAGAGUCUCGAUUCGAUUUGAAAAGAAUCGGAGGCCAAACGAGCGAAAACGAGCGAAAACGGAGUGAAAACGAAAAAGGCUGAAAUUUGGCUAAGUCUGAAAAUUAAGA